ensembl:lncRNA
GGUUAGGGUUAACACUAGGUACACACCCUGUAUGGUAGGGGUUAGGGUUAACACUAGGUACACACCCUGUAUGGUAGGGGUUAGGGUUAGUGUCAACACUAGUUACACACCCUGUAUGGUAGGGGUUAGAGUUAACACUAGGUACACACCCUGUAUGGUAGGGGUUAGGGUCAACACUAGGUACACACCCUGUAUGGUAGGGGUCAGGGUUAGAGUUAACACUAGGUACACACCCUGUAUGGUAGGGGUUAGGGUCAACACUAGGUACACACCCUGUAUGGUAGGGGUUAGGGUUAGAGUCAACACUUGGUACACACCCUGUAUGGUAGGGGUUAGGGUCAACACUAGGUACACACCCUGUAUGGUAGGGGUUAGGGUUAGAGUUAACACUAGGUACACACCCUGUAUGGUAGGGGUUAGGGUUAGAGUACACUAGGUACACACCCUGUAUGGUAGGGGUUAGUGUUAACACUAGGUACACACCCUGUAUGGUAGGGGUUAGAGUCAACACUAGGUACACGCCCUGUAUGGUAGGGGUUAGAGUCAACACUAGGUACACACCCUGUAUGGUAGGGGUUAGGGUUAACACUAGG